CCCUUAGAUGCUCUGGGCCGCACGCGCGCUACACUGGUCGAUGCAACGAGUUUCUUUCCUUGGCCGACAGGCCUGGGCAAUCUUUGAACAUCGAUCGUGAUCGGGAUAGAUUCUUGUAAUUUUUGAUCUUAAACGAGGAAUUCCUAGUAAACGCAAGUCAUCAGCUUGCAUUGAUUACGUCCCUGCCCUUUGUACACACCGCCCGUCGCACCUACCGAUUGAAUGGUCCGGUGAAAUCUCCGGACUGGCGUGAGUCGGAGCAAUCUGACAAACGCCGGAAAGUUGAUUAAACCUUACCAUUUAGAGGAAGGUAAAGUCGUAACA
rnacentral:rRNA from 1 species